UACGUAGGGUCCGAGCGUUGUCCGGAAUUAUUGGGCGUAAAGAGCUCGUAGGCGGUUUGUCGCGUCGACUGUGAAAACCUGGGGCUUAACUCUGGGCCUGCAGUCGAUACGGGCAGACUUGAGUUCGGUAGGGGAGACUGGAAUUCCUGGUGUAGCGGUGAAAUGCGCAGAUAUCAGGAGGAACACCAAUAGCGAAGGCAGCUCGCUGGGACGGUACUGACACUGAGGCGCGAAGGCGUGGGGAGCGAACGGG
rnacentral:rRNA from 1 species